rnacentral:misc_RNA from 1 species
UUUUCUCUUCUGGAUUACUUCUGUAUUGAAGAGUGGAGACUAGAUUGAGAACAUUAAACUUAGUAGACAAGACACCACAAAAAGAUCUUAGGGGAGAUAAAGGUUUUAUUGUAAGAAGACAAAAGCAUCCAUCUGCAACUUCUGUAAUAUAAUUCUAUCUAAUAAAAGCACUGGUGCACAAAGAUUGACUGACGCAGAAGUGAUUCCAAUUCUGGCCUUGAAAAUAACUAAUAGCAACAGAGGUGGUGUGUGGAUAGUGGAGAAAGACGGAUAAAGCUGUGAUGACAUUGAUAUACUGUCCUCUAUGCCCUACCAAAAACUGGUAAAGAGAAUAUAUAGUAAUUGUAACCACAAUUACAAGGACUUUCUUGCCAUAAAAUGAGAGUUAUACUAGACCUUAACCACAUCGUCAAAUUCUUCAGAAGGUGAAAUUGGGGGGCUGUCCAAUUCUCCCAAGUUCAAAGGUCCACUGCUGUGAGAGAGCCUCCCUGAUGUCAAUGGUGACACUUCAGAUUGUGACAUGAUACGCUCGAGGACUAGCUGGGAAGUAGCAGAAGAAGUGAAAGAGAACUGGUUGGCAGAAACACAGUCCUCAUUCUCAGCAGAAACAUCUUCGAGUAUAGAAGUGGUGGUGCAACUGGAGUUACUAUUAGUCGACUUGUUGGAAGCCAUGCAAGAGAGAGCUUUGGAAACUUCAAGAGCUGAGACACUCCAAGACCUUGAGAGGAACUCCAUGGGAACUUUUGGGCUUUCAGGCAGUUGCAUGGAGCAGGCAGAGUUGUGCUCCAGCUUGCGAGGGGUGAUGAGAGGGAUCUCUUCCAUGGGCGAGGAUGAUCCAGGAAACGAGCUGGAUUUGAAAUUUUAGCGAAGGAAAGUAGGGCUUUAGGAUUACUUUAUGCCCAUAGGCU